GCGGGCAGGGAGGCGUUGAGGGCGUGGGGGGAGGUGCUGGAGAUGAGGUCCGCGGGUUGGAUAACGAUGCCAUCACCAGCGGAGUGCCCAAUGGCGAGUAGGUCCUAGAGGUGGAAGGGCAUGUUUUAAGGGUGAUCUUAGGUCCUAGGGGGGGAGUGACAUGUUUUAAGGGUGAUCUUAGGUCCUAGAGGGGAGUGACAUGUUUUAAGGGUGAUCUUAGGUCCUAGAGGGGGAGUGACAUGUUUUAAGGGUGAUCUUAGGUCCUAGAGGGGGUGUGACAUGUUUUAAGGGUGAUCUUAGGUCCUAGAGGGGAGUGAUAUGUUUUAAGGGUGAUCUUAGGUCCUAGGGGGGGAGUGACAUGUUUUAAGGGUGAUCUUAGGUCCUAGAGGGAGUGACAUGUUUUAAGGGUGAUCUUAGGUCCUAGAGGGAGUGACAUGUUUUAAAGGUGAUCUUAGGUCCUAGGGGGAGUGACAUGUUUUAAGGGUGAUCUUGGGUCCUAGGGGGAGUGACAUGUUUUAAGGGUGAUCUUAGGUCCUAGAGGGGGAGUGACAUGUUUUAAAGGUGAUCUUAGGUCCUAGGGGUGUAGGGACAUGUUUUAGAGGGGAGGAUCUAAGUCUCUGUAUAUAUUAAUUGUUAGGGGUUUGGGCGGUGAUCCAAUUAUUGUUUUGUUAUUGAUAUGUUUUAAGAUAUACCUACCCUUAUGAUCUGUUCUGAAGUCCCGAUACUACUACUACUACGACUACUAUAAUAAUGAUGAUGAUAAUAAUAAUACUAAGACAACCCAUUAUGACGAUGAUGAAGAAAAGGAAGGAAGAAUGCACAAAAAGAGGAAAAAAAGAAAGGCAUAGGAACGAAGGGAGGAAAGGAAGAAUGCGAAAAAGGAAGGAAGAAAAGAGGACGUAAAGAAAGGGAUUUAAAGGAAACAUGCAAAAAAUGAAGGAAAGAAGGUCGAGAGAGAGAGAGAGAGAGAGAGAGAGAGAGAGAGAGAGAGAGAGAGAGAGAGAGAGAGAGAGAGAGGCGGGAGAGCAUCCAAAAGGCAGCAGGGAGUUAACAGUAAUCGAGGGGAGAGGGAGCAUAGUAAUGAGACAGAACAAGACGUGAGUGGCCGGAGAGGGAGGGAGAACGAGGGAGAGGGAAGGGAGAAAGAGAGAGGGAGAGGGAGAGAGAGGGAGGGAGAGAGAGGGAAGGGAGAUGAGAGUGGAGAGGUUAUGUGUGGAAAGGAAGGAAGGGAGAGAAAGGAAAUGGGAAUAAGGAAAAGAUAGAGAGGUGAGGGGAUGGGAGAGAAGGAAGGGAAAGUUAAAUAAGGCGAUGGGAAGGGGGAAGAUAGGAGAGAGAGAGGGAGAGAAGGAAGGGGGUAUGAGGGAGAGAUGAAAAGGAGGGAAGGAAGAGGAUAAAGGUAGAGAGAUGGGAUACGAAGAGGGAAGAAGGAAGGGACAGAGAAGAGAAGAGGAAGGGGAAGAGAGGGAGAGAAGGAAGGAGGGAUGGGGGAAAGAUGAAAAGGGGAUGAAAGGAGGGAAGGAAGAGAAGGAAGGGGAUAAAGAUAUAGAGAUGGGAUACGAAGAGGGAAGAAGGGAGGAAAAGAGAAGAGAGGAAGGGGAAUUUUUAAGAGAGGGAGAGAAGGAAGGGGGAUGAGGGAGAGAUGAAAAGGAGGGAAGGAAGAGAAGGAAAGAAGAGAAGGAAAGGGAUAAAGAUACAGAGAUGAAAUACGAAGAGGGAAGAAGGAAGGGACAGAGAAGAGGGGAGGAAGGGGAACUUGGGAUUCAGUUACGUUGCUUGAAAGGAAAAAGUAAAAGCUAAAAGAUAAGAUAGCGAAGAGGUGGUGAGGUGGAGGCAGUAGCUUUAUAUGAUAAGGGCUUUCACGGGUUGAUAAGGGGAUGAUAAGGGAACUUCACACCUCGUUAUAAUAGGUAAGCAAGGCUCCAUCCAAACCAAUACCAAAAACUACGAACGAAAAUAAUCCCAUGUGUAGCCCAAAAUCUAAUCAGAAAUCUUACUACUUAUAUGAUUUUUUUUAAUUAAUAAUGGCAAUAAAAAAAAUAGUAUGACUGAAAAGGUGGUAUACAGUGGACAAAACAAAAUAAAUAUACAAGUCACCCGUCAAUUAAUCCGUAUUCUGUCAUCGGACCCACUGAGGCAAUAAUAUGACGUCACUUCUGCGCGUGAACAGACUUAUUAUAAUUAGAUUUUGGUGUAGCCUACCGUAUAGUGUUUCGUCCUCAUAUUUGGGUUAAAAAAUUUGAGGAAACGUUAUGGAAAGUCUCUUAUGUAUCUGGUAUGUAUGUAUCAUCGAGAACUUGACCAUUGUGGAGUGUAGAAGAUUAAUAAGUAGUUUGGUUUCUCUUAAUAUAGUAAGCGAAGAGGUGGAGAAGGCCGGAAGGAUAGCCUAGUCUUUGCUUGAAAAUGAGGAAGCGAUGAAAAAAAAAAAAUGUACGGAAAAGAACUUAAGAGAGAAAAAGGAUCGAAGGAAGGAGGGAGAAUGCAAGAGAGGAAAAAGAAGAGUAAGAAGAAACGAAGGAAGGAAGAAUGGAAGGAACAGAAAAUAAGAAAAAAAAGAUUGAAGUAAGGAUGAAAGAAUGCGAGAGGAAAAGAUGGGUAAGAAGAAACGAAGGAAGGAAGAAUGGAAGGAAAAGAAAAUAAGAAAAAAAAGAUUGAAGGAAGGAGGGAGAAUGCAAGAAAGGAAAAAGAGGAAAAGGGAAGGAAGGAAGGAAAGAAGGAAGGAAGCAGAGAAAGAAACUAAGGAAAAAUGCAAGAAGUAAAGAAGAAGGAGGAAUAGAAGAGGUUAAAAGAAUAAAAGACCAGGAAGUAAACGAAGAGAAGAGAGAGAGGGAGAAUAAGAUAUCAAACAAAUGAGAAAUGAGAGAUGGAGAAUAAGGUCAUUAGCGAACAGAGGAAGUGGGAGAUGAAAGAUAAGAUAGCCAGAGAAGGAGAAGAGACGGUGAAUAAUUAAAAGUCAUCAGCGAAAAGAGGAAGUGGGAGAUUGAAGAUAAGAUAGCAAGCGAAGGAGAAGAGAUGGAGAAUAAGGUCAUUAGCGAAGAGAGGAAGUGGGAGAUGGAGGAUAAGAUAGAAAACAGAAGAAAACCAGAGAUAGAGACAGACCGCAAGAUUCAAGAUAAGGAGGGCGUAAGAAAGAAACGAAGGGAAACUCCAAGAAAUUAGGGAAAGAAAGAGAGGGAGAAUUAGAUAGCAAUGGAAAUGAUGGAAAGGCAAGGAGGACGUAGAGAAAGAAACAAAGGGAAACUACAAGAAAUCAAGGUAAGGAGAGAGAGAGAAUCAGAUCAUACAAAAUUACCAGAUUGUCGUACUCAGCCUCUUACAAUUACCAACUUCCGACCCCAAAACCGUCUCCUGGGGCCCACUAACGAGACUCAUUCAUAGUUAUCUUUAAAAUAGUUAAUUCCUGAUAUGUCCUGUUAAUAGUCAUGCGUCAGAAACCGGUAAAUAGGCCCUACUAUGCUCUGAGUACGAUAAUCUGGCAACGGUGAUCAGAUAGCAAUGGAAAUUAUGGAAAGGCAAAGCUCAUCAU